AGAUGCAUACAGUUACUGUGAAUCAGCUAAAGAGCUGUGGGAUACGUUGAAGAAGGUGUAUGGGAAUACAUCAAACCUGAGCCGUGUGUUUGAGGUGAAGCAGGCUAUAAACAACUUGGUACAAGAGGAUAUGGAGUUCACCAAGCAUCUAGGGAGGUUCAGAACACUCUGGUCCGAGCUGGAGAUGUUGAGGCCAAGCACUACAGAUGCAGAUGAGCUCAACAAAAGAAGAGAGCAAGACAAGGUCUUUGGGCUACUCCUCACCAUGAAUCCGGCGUACAAUGGUCUUAUCCAACACUUGCUUAGAGAGGACACACUACCUGAUCUUGAAGAAGUGUGCGCAAGGAUUCAGAAGGAACAAGGCUCUAUUGGGUUGUUUGGAAAGAAAGGAGAGCUAUCUCUCGUAAAUCAAGCAACUCAAGAGGAGGGAGGGGAAGCUCCACAAGCACACAAGGCUGCGCAUGGGAAGUAUGAUGAGAGGAGGUUCAAUGGGAACUGUGAUCACUGCAAGAAGCAUGGCCACAAGAAGAGCCAAUGCUGGAUACUCCAUCCCCAUCUCAAGCCGGCAAAGUUUAUGAAAGACAGAGAGGCAAGGGCUAAUAUCUCAGAUGGAGCAAGCGCAAGUGGAGCAGGUACUAGCAAAGGGAAGGAGAUACAUGGGCGUGAAGCAGGUGAUGGGAGGUCUCUUGUAGCCUACACUGGAGCCCCAAGCAACCGUGGGAACUAUGAUCAAGAGUAUCUAAGGAAAUCCGACCUGGAUGCUCUCAUUAAGCUCUUCAAGGAGCAUGGUAACAGUUUUGGAUAUUCCUUUGGUGCUAGGGCUAUAGGGAAUGAUGAGAAUCCAACUAGCAUUGAUAGGAUGCAUGAAAGUGUGAUAGAGAUAAUAAACCAAUCUAGAACAGACAGUUUUGCUAGGAAUGAUCAUGCAUUCAACCAUCUAGUAUACUUGCUCAUAUUGCUAGUUCACAUACCAUCAAGCCUUUAGUAGUUGAUUCUGGUGCAUCUCAUCAUAUGAUAAGUGACACUAGUUUGAUUAGAAACAUUGUACCAAUGAAUGGAAAUGUGAUGAUAGCUAAUGGAGAUAAGAUACCUAUUAGAGGAAUAGGAAGUCUUAAACUGUUUGAUAAGGAAACUAAAGCCUUUUAUAUGCCUGAAUUUACUUCAAACUUGUUAUCUGUUAAGAAAUGUGCUACUGAUUUGCAAUGCAAUGUCAUAUUCAGUCCUAAUGAUGUGAAGUUUCAGGAUAUUAAAAGCAGCAAGAUGAUUGGAAAGGGAGUUACUAAAGGAGAAUUGUAUUUACUUGAAGAUCUUGCUCCUGUUUCUAGUUAUAACUGCUCGUUUACUUCUGUUUCUGGUUCUAGUUUAAGUAAAAAUGCAUUGUGGCAUGCUAGAUUAGGACACCCUCAUAAUAAGGCUUUAAAACUGAUGUUGCCAGGUGUUUCCUUUGAGAAUAAUGAGUGUGAAGCUUGCAUUUUAGGCAAGCAUUGUAAGACUGUCUUUACUAAAUCUACUACGGUUUAUGAGAAGUGUUUUGAUUUGAUUCAUUCUGAUGUUUGGACUGCUCCUUGCUUAUCUAGAGACAAUCAAAAGUAUUAUGUAACUUUCAUUGAUGAAAAAUCCAAAUACACCUGGUUAACUUUAAUUCCAACCAAAGAUAGGGUACUUGAUGCAUUUAAGAACUUUCAAUCAUAUGUGACUAACCAUUAUAAUGCCAAGAUAAAGAUUUUCAGGUCAGAUAAUGGAGGAGAGUACACGGGACAAGCAUUCAAGCUCCAUCUAUCUCAGCAUGGAAUACUACAUCAGACAAGCUGUCCCUAUACUCCACAACAGAAUGGUGUGGCUGAGAGAAAGAAUAGGCAUCUGAUGGAAGUGGCCAGGUCCAUGAUGUUUCAAACCAAUGUACCCAAGAAGUUCUGGAGUGAUGCGGUCACUACAGCUUGUUAUCUCAUCAACAGAACACCAACUCUGAUUCUGUAAGGGUUAUCACCAUUUGAGGUAUUGAACCGAUACAAGCCCUCAUUGGAACAUAUGAAGAUCUUUGGGUGUUUGUGUUUUGUGAUGGUACCGGGAGAAUUAAGAAACAAGCUUGAAGCUAGAAGCUCCAAGGCAAUGUUUGUUGGAUACUCAUCAAGUCAGAAAGGAUAUAAGUGCUAUGAUCCUAACACAAGGAGAGUGUUAGUAUCUAGAGAAGUGAAGUUUGUGGAAGAAAAAGGAUAUUAUGAGGAGCAGAUUCAAGAAGAUUUGAAAGAUCUCACUUCAGAUAGAGCUGCAACCUUGAGGAUAAUACUAGAAGGACUUGGUAUCAAUAUGGAUCAAGGACAGCAAGAAGUAAGAGGCACUACACCAAUACCGAAUCAUCAGACGUCCAAUCUUGAACAUGAGGGGGGGAAUGGAACAGAAACUCAAACUCAAAGUCAUGAAGAGAGUUCUGGUUCUCAUGAUCAAGCUGUGGAGUCAAAUGAUCAACAAGAAGGAGCUGAAGCAAGUCAGCUAAGGGAUGAAGGAGCUGAAGCAAGUCAACCAAGAGAAGAAGCAAGAGAAGAAAGUACACAAGAAGAUGUACAAGACAUGGAGUUACCGGCACAAGAAGGGCCAGUGUUGAGAAGAAGUACAAGGCUGAGAAAGGAUCCUUCCAGUUGGGUAAACACGAGAGUGUACUACAAUGCUCAAGCUGUGAAGCAUCCUACUCAGGCCGUGUGUUCUUUCUCUCAAUAUCCAGAAGCACAUUGUGCAUUCAUGGUAAACUUAGAUGAGAAUCACAUUCCAAGAAGCUAUGAAGAGGCAAUGGAGGAUAAGGAAUGGAAGGAAUCAGUAGGAGCUGAAGCAGGAGCUAUGAUAAAGAAUGAUACAUAGUUUGAAAGUGAACUACCAAAAGGGAAGAAGGCAGUAUCUAGUAGAUGGAUCUUCACAAUCAAAUACAAGGCUGAUGGACAGAUUGAGAGGAAGAAGACUAGAUUAGUAGCAAGAGGGUUCACUCAAACAUAUGGAGAGGAUUACAUUGAGACAUUUGCACCAGUAGCCAAGUUACAUACCAUUAGAAUUGUACUAAGCUUGGCGGUUAACCUUGGAUGGGGAUUGUGGCAAAUGGAUGUGAAGAAUGCAUUCUUACAAGGAGAACUUGAGGAUGAAGUCUACAUGUAUCCUCCACCAGGUCUUGAACAUCUAGUGAAGAGAGGGAAUGUACUGAGGCUAAAGAAGGCUAUCUAUGGGUUGAAGCAAUCACCAAGAGCAUGGUACAACAAGUUGAGCACAACUCUGAACGGCCAAGGUUUUAAGAAGUCAGAAUUGGACCAUACUCUCUUUACCCUCACUACUCCCUCAGGUAUGGUUGCUCUCGGCCGAGGCUUCAAGAAGUCUGAACUAGACCACACUCUCUUCACACUCACAACUCCCUCAGGUAUGAUUGCACUUCUUGUGUAUGUGGAUGAUAUCAUUAUCACAGGAAGUGAUAAGGAAGGUAUCAAAGCAACUAAGGAGUUUCUAAAAAAUCUUCUAGAGCUUGCCCUAUUAUUUGUACAAGCUCCAUCUUCUCUUCAGUUCAACACUAAAGUCUUGUGUAUGUGGAUGAUAUCAUUAUCACAGGAAGUGAUAAGGAAGGUAUCAAAGCAACCAAGGAGUUUCUAAAUGAGAUUUUAUAAGGAUUCACUCAAGGUGUGUGUGUGAGAAAGUGUUUAGGAGAGUUUAUGUGAACAGAUUUGAGACUUAGGAGUAUGGGAGAGAUUUAGAGUAUGAAGGAGACUAGGUAACAAGAUUAAAGAGACUGAGAGACUUAGAGAAUAGAUUAGAGACUUAGUAUCAAGAACAUACUUUCAUAGAACAUGAAGGAGAAGGGUUUCCCCCCUUACUCUCUUGCUUAAUCAAAUCGCAUACAAGAGGCUUUUAUAAGCCUUUAUAUGUCACAAAGACUUAACCUAAAUCCUAAGGACAAGAAUACAAGAUAGAUUGAAUGGCUAGGAUGAGAGAAGAGUGGUCUUUGAUGUUCUGGUGAUAGCUGGCGACUUUUGACUGAAUGGAGAGCUCAGAUUGCUUCAUUUGAAUGAAGGGAAGAGAUUGGUCUUGCUGUAAAGGUAAAGCACCUUUACCUUUCCAGCUUGCACAUACAGCUCACUCUUAUCCCUUUGGUAUAUUCUCCUUGCCUCUCACACUCCAACGGUCACUAUAGGAACCUUAACCCGCGCCCACACAUUGCACAACUCUGAGCAAGGCUGAUCCGGGUGAUGGCCAAACCGGAUUGGAUGUACGGUCUCUUGUACGGCCUUGAGGUCCGUACACUCGCCCUAUAUCUGCACCUUCAUCCAAACAUCUUCUAUGAUUGACCCAUACACCUUCUUGGAUCGCCCUAGGCCGUACCAUGGCCGUACUGGCCCUAUCUUUGCACCAUACUUCCAUCUUCUCUCUAACUCCUCCAAAGCCUUCACAUGAUCAGUCUAAGUCUUUCCUUGACUUAACUUCACAUAACUACUUCAGAACAUCUCUGAAGCUUGAUUGAACUCUUCUUGACAUCUUCUAGAGCUUGCCCUAUUAUUUGUACAAGCUCCAUCUUCUCUUCAGUUCAACACUAAAGUCUAUGUUUGAAAUAAAAGACUUGGGAGAAAUGAAAUACUUUCUUGGAAUUGAGAUUUGUAGAUCCAAGGAAGGUUUGUUCAUGUCCCAAAGGAAGUAUACACUUGAUCUUUUGAAAGGUGCAGGUGCUUAUGGAGGCAAGACAGCAAAGAUGCCAAUGGAGGAUGGCUACAAAGUACCAAGAGAGGGGGAGAUUGAAGACAGCAAGCCAUUUCAUGAUCCUAAACUCUAUAGAAAACUUGUUGGCAAAUUGAUUUAUCUAACCAUCACAAGACCUGAUAUAUGAUUUGCUGUGAAUCAGGUGAGUCAACACAUGCAGCUUCCCAAGGAACAUCACUGGCGUAUGGUGGAGAGGCUGCUGAUGUAUCUAAAUGGCUCGCCGGAUCAAGGUGUAUGGAUGGGGUGCAAUGGAAGCACAGAAGUGGUGGGCUAUUGUGAUGCUGAUUGGGCAGGUGAUAGAGCUGACAGAAGAUCAACAACCGGCUAUUGCACAUUCAUUGGAGGCAACUUGGUGACUUGGAAGAGUAAGAAACAGAAGGUGGUGUCAUGCUCUAGUGCAGAAGCUGAGUAUAGAGCUAUGCUGAAGCUUACAAACGAGCUAGUUUGGAUCAAGGGCAUCUUGAAGCAUUUGGAGAUAGCACAAGACACUCCAAUGACAAUGCAUUGUGACAACCAGGCCGCCAUUCACAUAGCCUCCAACUCGGUGUUCCAUGAGAGAACAAAGCACAUUGAGGUUGAUUGCCACAAGGUGAGGCAGAUGAUUGUCCUAGGAGUCAUCUUGCCAUGUUAUACUAGGAGUGAAGAUCAGUUGGCUGAUGUAUUCACCAAGGCUGCAAGACAAAAGACAAAGAAACUAAGGGAGAUGGAGUUAGGAGAGGAUUGGGCAAGGCCGUACAGAAGCCGUACUAGGCCGUACAGAUUGGGCAAGGUAACUUGACCUCGGUGAACCAAAGUUACUUAGGUAACUUUGUGUGUUGAGUAGAAGCCUUGCUUAUCCUUAUCUGAUCAGAUUGUUGCAAAAGGAAGAAGGGAGCGCACAUGACAGCCUGUCCACGGUUGGCAUAAAGCAAAAGGAACCUUAUCCUUAAGGAGGAAGCUUAUUGGAUCAUUUGAAUUAAAGCAAAAGCUUAUCUCUUGUAAUAGUGUAGUUUCCUAAACCCUAGUCUCUAAUGUCGCCUCUCUAUAUAUUGUAAACUCAUGUCAUUAAUCAAGGCAAGCAAGUUAUGAGUCUCUCUUAGUCUUUAUUCUCUCAAUGGUUCUAUGCUAGACUCCUAAUCUCAUUUCAUACUCAAAUCUCUUCUAAAUCACUUCUAGUCUUUCUUAUUUACUCAGAUUACUCUACUCAAUCCUAAAAGUGAUUCUCUUUAGUCUCUUAAGUCUCUUAAUCUCUCUGUUCUUAAGUCUCUCAUAUACACUCUCCCUAAAUCACCUAGAACAAGCUCUAAUCAUUCUUCAUUGAAGCUUAUAUACACACACAUACUACCAGAGUAGAGAUCUCUUUAAAAAUCAUAAUACACUUUUGUGUAUUAGAGUGUGUUUAAGAACAAUCAGAUUGUUUUGUGUAAGAUUAAAGAGAUUAAGAGAAUAAGUAGAGAGAGAAUACUCAAAACUCCAUUUAUUGAUUUAAUGUCUCAGAUACAAGUUAUAUAUGAAGAGAUAAGGCUGGUACAAAGGGGAUUUCGAAAUGGGACUCAAAGCAUGUGAAGUCAAAGCUAGCUGGAUGGUUGAGAGGUUUCACAUGCUUGGAUAGGCUGUAAAGUAUCUUUUCCUUUCCAGCUAUGACCAGACCUUAUCCAAACUGAUUCUUUCUUAUCCAAACUGCUCCUUGGCGUGAUAUACUCUCCAAAGUGUUGCAAGGUAACUUCCCAAGCCUUUAACUUAGUUACGACAGUAAAAACUAAAGUUACUAUGGUAAAUCCCCAAAGUUACUGACUUCUUCAAUGUUUAGAUGAGAGGAUAGAGAGAAGAUACAUUGAUAGAGGAAGAUAAUUUGGGCAGUCAGUAACUUUGGGGAUUUACCACAGUAACUUUAGUUUUACUGUGGUAACUAAGUUAAAAGCUUGGGAAGUUACCUUUGGAGAGUGGAGCACACCUAAGGAGUAGUCUGGAUAGGAAAGGAGAAGUUUGGAUAAGGUCUGGUCAUAACCAAAGAGUGUGACAGCCUUGGACAGGCUGGAACCAGCUGGAAAGCUAAAGCAAGAUACCAAUACCCAAGCAUGUGGGGAACCUUAUUGGCUAGUUCAAAUCAGACAUCUUUGACUACACAUGCUUCUUAUCCUUGCAAGACUGAAUCUGGACAAAAUUAUGUAUCUCUUUCCUAUAUAUGUUGUAAACUCACUCAUAAAUCAACUAAUGGAGUUUUGAGUCUCUCUCUUUAUUCUCUCACUAAAAUCUCUUCAUCGCUUUAAUAUUUUCAUCUGAUUAUCUCUGAUUGUUUGAAUCAUGCUCUAAUACACAAAAGUGUAUACGGUAUCAGAGCCAGGUUGGCAAAAAGGGGGUGAGUGUGAUUUCGUUUUCUCAAAAUCAGAGUGUUCUUGAGUGUUCUUGGGAUUGUUGAGGUUUCUGGGUAUCUGUGUUGUCUAUCCUUCUGUGGCUGGGUUUAUUUGAGAUUCUCUGGUGGAAACAUGGAUAUGAAGCACGAAUAUAGUGAAGCAGUGAAGAUUCAAGAAGAAAACAAGUGGGUUUGGCCAAGAUGGGUAAAGACAGCCUUAGGAAGCUGUGAGAUUUGGAGUAAUCAUGUAAAGGGAGAACCUUUAAUGGAGAGAGCUGCUGAUGGGGGUCAGACAGCAAGGUUGAAGUGUGAAGAUCAGUUGAGUCUUGAAGAAAGUAUAUCUCUUGAGAAGAUUGAAGAUGUUUAUGAGAACAAGAUCAAUCUAAGGAGGAUGUAUGAAGUCAGGAAGAUGAUCUGUGAGUUAAAACAAGGGAAAGAAGGUUUCAAUCAGCAUGUGAAGAAGCUGAGAUGUUUGUGGUCGGAGUUACAAAGCUUGAGACCAAGAAGUUGUGAUCCAAGAGUGCUAGAAGAGUGGCGAGAGCAAGAUGUUGUCUUCAGCCUCCUUGCAAGCUUGGAUUCAUCUUAUGGCUGGUUGGUAAAGCUUAUUCUCAAGGAAGAGAAGCUACCCAACAUGGAAGAAGUGUGUGUACUUGUUCAGAGGCUUCAUCAAGUGAUGGAAGAGAACAAAGAGAUAACUUGGAGUAAGGAGGGUGCUAAAAGGAAGAAGGGAAGGCUGAGACGUGAUACAAGAUACAAUUCGAAAUCAUAGGGUCAGAGGAGAUCAGGAACGUGUGGAGUCAAGGAGAGCCAUCCAAAAGCAGCCAAUGGGUGUUCUCACAUGCUUGGACAGGCUGUAAAGAUGUUUUACCUUUCCAGCUAUGACCAGACCUUAUCCAGAAUGCUUCUUCCUGUUAAGAUGAGGUGAUGAAGAGUUGAUACAUGGAUAGAGGAACAGUAUUGGGGCAGAUGGUAACUUUGGAGUUUUACCACAGUAACUUUAGUUUUACUGUGGUAACUAAGUUAAAGGCUUAGGAAGUUACCUUUGUUGAGAUGAGAUCAUUAGAUGAGAAGAGAAGGCUUGAGAGGUUAAGUAUGAAUGCAGAAGAAGGAGCUUAGGAGGAAUGGAGAAGCGAGGCUGAGGCAUCCGUACAAGGCCGUACAAGGCCGUACAUGGCCGUACACACUUACCUCAGCCACGGUUAAGCCAAGAGUUACUUAAGUAACUUCACUAGAUAAGAAGAAGCUCUGAUCACUUAUCUAAAGGAUCAGACCGUUACCAAAAGGAAGAAGGAGCGUGUGACAGCCUGUCUUGGGCUGGAAAGAAGAAGGCAUAAAGCAAAGAUGCUUCACACACGCGGUCACUCCCAUUGGAUAGAUUCAAAUGCAUUCUUAUCCUAUCCAUUGACUCCACAUGCUUUCUCCCUUU
rnacentral:lncRNA from 1 species